rnacentral:lncRNA from 1 species
GCAGUUGAGAGAAGCAGAAUGCAAGGGAAAAAUCUGGGGCAGGCUGAACCUAGAUUCCAAUCCUAUCAGGGGAGAACAGCAAUUCCUACUUGGGGCCAGUUCAAGUGCAUUGUCAAUGAGUAGUCCUAUUUUGAAAGGAAUCCUUUUUUCUGAGCAGUAGGCUCCAAUAGUAGCUUAGAAUAUUCAGUAAACCAUGCUGUAAACAGAUGUAUGUGCUGUCAUUGAAGCUUCACUGAUUCCUUUAGAGAGCACAGGCAGAGUAGAUUUCACAAAAUUCUGAAGAGCCCUAGGAUUUUCAGAAUAAUAAGUAAGCAUUGGCUUCAACUUAUAGUCACCAACUACUGGAGUCCCUAACAAGAGAGUCAGCCUGUCCUUUGAAGUUUUAAAGCCAGGCAUUGCCUUCUGCUCCCUAGCUAUGAAAAUCCUGGACAGCAUCAUCUUCCAAUACAAGGCUGUUUCAUUUACAUUGAAAAUCUGUUGUUUAGUGUAGCCACCUUCAUCAAUGAUCUUAGCUAGAUCUUCUGGAUAACUUGCUGCAGCUUCUACAUCAGCGCUUCCUGCUUCACCUCUCAUGUAAACAGCGGCAAUGACCCGGGAAUUUGGAUUACAGAGAGGUGGCUGUUUUCUUUUUAUUUGGUUUACUUUUCAUGUUCCUUUUGGAUUUCAAUUACCCAUGAUAUUUCUGCUCUACUGAUUAAAACAAAACAAACAAAC